AUUUCUAGCAUAGUCAUUGGCGUACGUAAUACAGGGAUUAAUCAAAAUUUGAUACAGUUGUUGUCGAUAACUGUUUUCUGUGUAGAUACUGUAUAACAGAAAAAUAAUGAGAAAAGUUGGGUUUCUUCAGGCAAAGGUCCAUUGGAUUCAUGUAAUACAUUAACUGAAAGGGAUGAAGUAAAAAAUUAUAUUCAAGAACUGAUAUCACACUUGAAAGGUUAA